UCGGCGCAAUUUUUGAAAUUGUUUUUGAAACAUGAUAUUCAAAGCUUAAAGAUGGCGACAAGAAAAAUAACAUUAUAUGAUUCUGAAAGAGAAAUUGUAGUAGAAGCUAUCGUUUCUGAAGCUGAAGCUGCUCGUGCAGGAAGAGGUAAAUAUAAUUAUGCAAUAUAAGUUUAAUACAAUUGAUUUUAGUUUAUAUUCAACAGCUAUUUAUACAUUUUUUCUGAAUAAUGGAUAGCAUAACCUAACUCAAUAAGUAAACGAUAUUUAUUAUCAUUAAUAAUAUAGAUAUAUUUGGUAAAUUUAUUUUAUUUGUAGAUGUAUUUUUUGCAACUGAGCUGUUAAGAAAAAUUAUUAAUCAUUCUGAAGCUCCGCAUCUGUUGAAGUUGAUCAAGAAUCUAGUGAAUUAUACGAUGAAGAGACUUCAGAGAGUUUUAUUGGAGAAGAACGACUUGAUAGUGAUAAUCCAACCGAUCUCAACUCUGAAACUCCAGAAUUUGAAGGUUUAAUGAACAUCUGAAUUCUAAUAUCAUUUUAUUUCAUUAGCACAGGAGAAACUUCAGUAUACAGGUGGAACUCACCCUGCGUAUUAUUAUUAUUGGAAUUAUAUAGGUCUAUGGAAGGAACUCUGAACAGUGGAAAAAUUUCUCAAAAACAAGUAUGGAAUAAAAUAUCCCAAGAUAUGAAAAAAAAGGAUACAUGUGACGGGACCGCAAUGUCAUUCUAAAAUACGAAGCCUAAAAAAAACAUAUAAGGAUCAUAACAAUAAGUCAGGAAAUAAUAGAAAGACAUGGCAGUUUUACGAUAUUAUGGAUGAAAUUUUUGGCAAAAAAGCAUGGCGCAAUCCAGUUGCAGUUGCAUCUUCUACUGGUAUGUCGUUGAAAGAAGCAGAAAAUAAUGAUAGUACAGCGGAUCUGAUAGCGGAUGUUCACUAAGUAGGUUGAUUAUGUGAGGUAAUUUUAAUUGUAACUAAUUUACAAAUUCAAUUUCAUUCUAGAAACAAGUAAGGCGUCGAUAGCAUCUUUACUGGGAAAAAGAUUGCAUCAAAAAGAGGAACAUGAAGAAAAUAAAAA